AAAGGAAUUGGCGGGGGAGCGCCGCAACGAGAGGAGCGUGCGGUUUAAUUGGAUUCAACGCCGGAAAACUCACCAGAGCCGACUGUUAAAUGAAGACCAGCGUGAUGAGCUUGUCGGAUUUCCAGAGAGGUAGUGCAUGGCCGUCGUCAGUUCGUACCGUAAGGCGUUCUGUUAAGUCAGAUAACGAACGAGACCCCCAUCGCUAUUUGCCAUCCAUCUCUCCGGAGAUGAGGCACUAUAGCGAGACCGCUGGCGUGAAGUCAGAGGAAGGCGGGGGCAACGGUAGGUCAGUAUGCUCCGAAUGCUCUGGGCUACACGCGCGCUUCAAAGGGCGGGACAAUGGGCAGCAACACCGAAAGGGGACGCUAUCCCGAAACCCGCUCGUAGUUCGGAUCGAGGGCUGUAAUUCGCCCUCGUGAAGCUGGAUUUCGGUAGUAAUCGCGUGC
rnacentral:rRNA from 1 species